rnacentral:rRNA from 1 species
AAACCAACAGGGAUUGCCUCAGUAACGGCGAGUGAAGCGGCAACAGCUCAAAUUUGAAAUCUGGCUCUUUCAGGGUCCGAGUUGUAAUUUGUAGAAGAUGCUUUGGGUGUAGCUCCGGUCUAAGUUCCUUGGAACAGGACGUCAUAGAGGGUGAGAAUCCCGUACGUGACUGGGUGCUUUCGCUCGUGUAAAGCUCUUUCGACGAGUCGAGUUGUUUGGGAAUGCAGCUCAAAAUGGGUGGUAAAUUUCAUCUAAAGCUAAAUAUUGGCCAGAGACCGAUAGCGCACAAGUAGAGUGAUCGAAAGAUGAAAAGCACUUUGGAAAGAGAGUUAAACAGUACGUGAAAUUGUUGAAAGGGAAGCGCUUGCAACCAGACUUGCACGUUGUUGAUCAUCCGAGCUUCUGCCCGGUGCACUCGGCAGCGUUCAGGCCAGCAUCGGUUUCGGUGGGCGGAUAAAGGCCUUGGGAAUGUAGCUUCUUUCGGGGAGUGUUAUAGCCCUCGGUGCAAUGCGCCCUACCGGGACCGAGGACCGCGCUUCGGCUAGGAUGCUGGCGUAAUGGUUGUAAGCGAC